UGCCAGCAGCCGCGGUAAUACGGAGGAUCCAAGCGUUAUCCGGAAUCAUUGGGUUUAAAGGGUCCGUAGGUGGAUUAAUAAGUCAGAGGUGAAAUCCUGCAGCUCAACUGUAGAACUGCCUUUGAUACUGUUAAUCUUGAGUUAUUAUGAAGUAGUUAGAAUAUGUAGUGUAGCGGUGAAAUGCAUAGAUAUUACAUAGAAUACCAAUUGCGAAGGCAGAUUACUAAUAAUAUACUGACACUGAGGGACGAAGGCGUGGGGAGCGAACAGGAUUAGAUA
rnacentral:rRNA from 1 species